rnacentral:lncRNA from 1 species
UGAAGUAGUCAUCUUAAGGAGUGGAUGAAUAAAUGAACUAGGAAUAUAUAGUACAAUUGGGGUGUGUAAAUUUAUAAUAAUGAUGUGAUAUGAUAUAUAGGAUAAUAUAUAAUAUAAGGUAAAAUAUAUCUUAUGAUUUCCUGGCCUAUAACGGAAUACUACAGACUGGGUCAUUUAUAAAAAACAAACGUUUAUGUGGCUCACAGUUCUGGAGGCUGGGAAGUCCAAGGGCAUGGCACUGGCAUCCAGCAAGGGUCAUCCCAUGGCAGAAGUAUGGAAGGCAGAAGUAAGUCCAUGAGUCAGAGAGAAACAUUGAUCUGAACUAAUCCUUUUUAUCAAGAACACACUCCUUCAAUAACUAACCUAUUCCUGUGAUAACAGCAGUAAUCUCUUCAAGAGGGUAGAGCCCUCAUGGCCUAAUCACCUCUUAAAUGCCCCACCUCUUAAUACUGUUACAAUGACAAUUAAAUUUCAGCAUG